UUUUUUCUUUAAUUAUUAUUUUUCUUCCACUUUUUUUGUCCAGCUUAUAUUUUGGAAUUGGAUGAACCAAAUGUUAUGGAACUAUACCAUAAUGUUAACCAGCAUGUGCAGAUUUGCAAUCGGGGUAUGGCAUUUUCAAGAUGGCCACCGUUACCAUGGAAACAGAACAAAUGUGAAAAAUAAAAUUUUUGUUUUUGGUGAAUAAUUUGAGUAUGCCUGAACAUAGAAUCAUCUAAUUUUUAUAUAUUGUUGGUGUCCACUAUAUACAAGUUUUAGGGGAUUUGAGAAUCUUUGGAACUACUAUAUUGCCAUGGAAACUAAAUACAUUUAGCAUUAAACCCUAUGGGAAAACCUUAAAGUAGCAUAUACUCCGUUAACAAGGAAGGUCAAACUCA
rnacentral:lncRNA from 1 species